AGAGCUGAAGUAGCAUCCACCGCAUGGAAGAUAGUGAUGUCCUGCAACCAGCCCUGCUGCAAGCCGUUGAAAAAAACAGUUCACAGUUGCUGCUGGCAGUCACAGAGCGUCUGAAUUCUGUUGAGCACUGUUUCUGGUCCCGUGAAACAAGCAGUGACUGUGGGAUCACAUCGUUUUGCAGACCACAAAAUGAAGAUUGGUGACAUUGAGAUGCCUAUAGUUAUCCUGGGGGACCCAGCCUACCCCUUGCUCCCUUGAUUCAUGAAGCCAUACACCGGCCGUCUGGACAGCUGUAAGGAACAGUUCAAUUAUAGGCUCAGUGACCCUAUGUGAUAUCAGUCUCCUGAGGGUAACAGAGGAGGAAAGGAAGGAGAUGCUGCAAGCGUCUGGGUAUAGACCGGGUCCUUAUGCUGCUAUGCUGUGUACCGCAGUGAUGCCAGCAGAAUUAAUUCAGGAGUUGCGUGGGAAAGUGUCCUACCAUGGUGGAAGAAAUAAGAUUGCCCUGCCAAGAAACCUUCUGCAAAGGAUUGCAGAGUACCUCCAUGAAAGUUUCCUAGAGAUAUCCAUGGAGGAUUCCUGGGCUAUCCUAGUCCACAUAAACAGUCUUUU